CAAGUACUUCCUCCGUCUCAAAAUUCUUGUCUUAAAUUUGUUUAAAUACAGAUGUAUCAAGUCACGUUUUAGUAUUAGAUACAUCCAUAUUUAGAUAAAUUUAAGACAAGAAUUUUGGGACGGAGGGAGUAUAUA
rnacentral:pre_miRNA from 1 species